GAUGAACGCUAGCGGCAGGCUUAAUACAUGCAAGUCGUGGGGCAGCAGGUUUGUAGCAAUACAGAUGCUGGCGACCGGCAAACGGGUGCGGAACACGUACAGAACCUUCCUUUGAGCGGGGAAUAGCCCAGAGAAAUUUGGAUUAAUACCCCAUAGUAUAAUGAAGUGGCAUCACUUUAUUAUUAAAGAUUUAUCACUCGAAGAUGGCUGUGCGGCUGAUUAGGUAGUUGGCGGGGUAAAGGCCCACCAAGCCUGCGAUCAGUAACUGGUGUGAGAGCACGACCAGUCACACGGGCACUGAGACACGGGCCCGACUCCUACGGGAGGCAGCAGUAAGGAAUAUUGGUCAAUGGAGGCAACUCUGAACCAGCCAUGCCGCGUGGAGGAUGAAGGUCCUCUGGAUUGUAAACUUCUUUUAUAUGGGACGAAAAAAGGCUUUUCUAAGUCGUCUGACGGUACCAUAUGAAUAAGCACGGCUAACUCCGUGCCAG
rnacentral:rRNA from 1 species